CGUCUUCGGCGUCCGCAUUGUAAUCUCAAGAAGUGUUUUCCGCUUCGGACCAAGCCUAAGUCCCUUGGAAAAGGGCAUCAUAGAGGGUGAUAAUCCCGUACAUGGCUUGGAGCGCCCGAAGCUUUGUGAUACGCUUUCUAAGAGUCGAGUUGUUUGGGAAUGCAGCUCAAAAUGGGUGGUAAAUGCCAUCUAAGGCUAAAUAUUGGGGAGAGACCGAUAGCGAACAAGUACAGUGAUGGAAAGAUGAAAAGAACUUUGAAAAGAGAGUUAAACAGUACGUGAAAUUGCCAAAAGGGAAGGGUAGGAGGUCAGAGAUGCGGCCUGGGAUUCAGCCUUGCUUUUGCUUGGUGUUUUUCCCAGAUUGCAGGCCAACGUCGGUUUUGGGCACUGGAGAAGGGUAGGAGGAACGUGGCACCUCUCGGGGUGUGUUAUAGCCUCCUACUGGAUACAGCGACCGAGACCGAGGACAGCAGCGUACUCGCAAGAGCGGGCCUUCGGGCACCUUUACGCUUAGGGCGUUGGCAUAAUGGCCCUCUACCACCCGUCUU
rnacentral:rRNA from 1 species